ACGCGCAAAACCUUACCUGGGUUUGACAUGCACCAGGCGUCGUCAGAGAUGGCGGUUCCCUUGUGGUUGGUGUGCAGGUGGUGCAUGGCUGUCGUCAGCUCGUGUCGUGAGAUGUUGGGUUAAGUCCCCGCAACGAGCGCAACCCCUUGUUCCAUGUUGCCAGCGGGGGUGAUGCCGGGGACUCAUGGGAGACUGCCGGGGUCAACUCGGAGGAAGGUGGGGAUGACGUCAAGUCAUCAUGCCCCUUAUG
rnacentral:rRNA from 1 species